ensembl:antisense
CCCUUUGGUGCCAUGCAGAGACUUCCAGCCAUGGAACAACCAUUUGGUGAAGAGUAGACUUUGAGUCAUGGAGCUUUUGCAGGUCCACGGAACUAGGCCAAGCCAACUGGACCUUUAACUGACCUCUGUGCUCAACAAAAAAAUCCACUAACGUUCUCGUUACAGUUGCAGACGUGUGGAAGAAAAAUGCAGGGAUCCAAAGUAUGGCCCCAUCAAGCUUUUUUAAACUGAGGAAGAAGUUGUUACGGUCCUGAAUGGUUAAAAGAUUGUUGUAAUAUUUUUCUAAGAUGCUCGGAUUGAAGGUUGUGAGGUUGGUCUUCCUUCCAACAUCUUUGUGGAAAGCCUCUGUCGGGGCAAAAUUGCAUCGAAAAACAAAAUCUGAUUUAUCUAUUUCUUGUCCACACUGACUCCCUGUCAAGAUUCCACUGUUUCCAACCACAGCACAAAUAUUAUAACGCUUAUUCAUAAUGGGCGACACAUCUGGGAGCAGGGACCGGAAGUUAUUGCUAAUAGAGAAGACAUAUUUAUGGCUGGAAUAAUCAUAGUGCAUCAGUUGUCCAAUCCGAACACUAUUCUUGGUCAAAGAAAAAUUUUUUAUUACAUCGACAUGCUGAAGAAUUUCUUGCCUAAAAUAAAAAAAAAAGAUUCAUUAAA